rnacentral:rRNA from 1 species
GUGCCUAACACAUGCAAGUCGAACGAGAAAGCGGGGGCAACUCCGUGAGUAAAGUGGCGACCGGGUGAGUAACACGUGACUAACCUGCCCUUGAGUGGGGGAUAACCUCGGGAAACCGGGGCUAAUACCGCAUAAUUUCACGAGGUGAAAUUCCUUGUGAUCAAAGGAGCAAUUCGCUGAAGGAGGGGGUCGCGGCUGAUUAGCUAGUUGGUGAGGUAACGGCCCACCAAGGCGAUGAUCAGUAGCCGGCCUGAGAGGGCGCACGGCCACACUGGAACUGAAACACGGUCCAG